rnacentral:rRNA from 1 species
GACGAACGCUGGCGGCGUGCUUAACACAUGCAAGUCGAACGGAAAGGCCCUGCUUUCGUGGGGUGCUCGAGUGGCGAACGGGUGAGUAACACGUGAGUAACCUGCUCUUGAUUUUGGGAUAACUUCAGGAAACUGGGGCUAAUACCGGAUAGGAGCUCCUGCUGCAUGGUGGGGGUUGGAAAGUUUCGGCGGGUGGGGAUGGACUGGCGGCUUACCGGCUUGUUGGUGGGGGAGUGGCUUACCAAGGCUUUGACGGGUAGCCGGCCUGAGGGGGGGACCGGCCAAAUGGGGACUGAGAUAGGGCCCGGCCCCCUACGGGGGGCAGCGGGGGGAAUUUUUGCACAAUGGGCGGAAGCCGGUGGCGGGAACGCCGGGUGGGGAAUGACGGCCUUCGGUUUUUAAACCGCUUUCGCCUGUGACGAAGCGUGAGUGACGGUAAUUAGUAAAGAAGCACCGGCUAACUACGUG